GAGCACUGCCCUAGAGCACUAGGGUAUACAAGUACUCUGAUUCAAAUUAAGAAGUGUAAUAUCGUUCCUGAUUUCUUUGCAGCAUUUCUGACUUCAGAAGGCAAUGAAACCAACGCAGCUGCAACAAUCAGGAAGAAUUUGCUUUCAAUAAUAGUUGGGAGCUGCAGCACUGUGUUCAUCAUUGCAAUGAUUGUGUUGGCUUUGGCUAUUUUACAUCGUAGAAGAACAGGUUUACAGAACAAGAGUGAGGACACCAAUGAUUGUUAUGCUACAAUUUCAAAUGUAAAGGGUAUAAAUGAAAAUGAAUACAUGGUCUUGAACAGAAACAAACUGCCCAAUGAAGCUCACAAUAGAACGGGUGGUUUAAAUGGAAAAGAAGAUAAUAUCUACAGUGAGAUUUAGAAUUCAAAUAAGAUCACUUUGAAAGCAUCCUGAACUAUGGUGUUUACUUCAGCAUCUGCUGUCUGUUUCAUAAUAAAGCUUAAAGGAAGACCCAGUUAUAAACUGCCAUUACAUUAUAUAUUUAGGACAUUUUUGGACUAUUAUGCUUUAAAUUAAAUACUUAUACUUAAGUAGCGAAGUGUUUCUUCAUUAUACCUUAAAUCUCAAAUUUUAUUAUUAGCAUGAAUAUACAUUUUUAUAUAUUUAUACAUUUAUAUUGUAUUUCUUGGACUAUCAACACCAGGAAAGUGUUAGUUGCCCAACCUCACAGCCAACUGGACAAUCUGCAGUUUUUCAAAUGUUAUAACUGAAUGGUUCAAUACACCAGUUGGACUUGGAGUUACCAGACCUUUCCUUGAGGAUUUUCAACACUUUUUAAUUUUUCAUUUAUUCUUUUAGAAAACUUAAAUUCAAACUCAGAAUUUGCUCUUUUUAUUAAUAUUACAUUGGUUUUUUAUGUGAACCUUGCUUCCAUAUAUUGGAUUAUUUUUGAUAUUGCACUUUAUUGUAUUGAGAUUAACACAUUAUCCCUUGUCAAUGUAACUUUAUUCUUGUAAUUUAAUAUGAAAUAGUUUUUUGAGGUGUUGUAUUGAUUGUGUUUCUUAAUAAACUGAUCCUCGUUUUGUUAGUUUUUUUUUGGAAAGGCAUGUGUUUUGUUAAAGGGCAGGUGCUUGCUGUCGUGUAUUAGGACAACACUGAAUGCUGUCUAAUUGGUGUUCAAGCAUUGCUUAGAAGGUGACCACUUCUGGUUGAACUCAGUUCAAAGUUUAAAUUAGAGGUUAAUUAAAAGAGAGACACAUGC